rnacentral:rRNA from 1 species
GUUUUGGGGGCUUCGUAACACAUCGAGUCGAACGAUGAUACCCAGCUUGCUGGGUGGAUUAGUGGCGAACGGGUGAGUAACACGUGAGUAACCUGCCCCUGACUCUGGGAUAAGCGUUGGAAACGACGUCUAAUACUGGAUAUGACUGCCGGCCGCAUGGUCUGGUGGUGGAAAGAUUUUUUGGUUGGGGAUGGACUCGCGGCCUAUCAGCUUGUUGGUGAGGUAAUGGCUCACCAAGGCGACGACGGGUAGCCGGCCUGAGAGGGUGACCGGCCACACUGGGACUGAGACACGGCCCAGACUCCUACGGGAGGCAGCAGUGGGGAAUAUUGCACAAUGGGCGAAAGCCUGAUGCAGCAACGCGCGUGAGGGUGACGGCCUUCGGGUUGUAAACCUCUUUUAGUAGGGAAGAAGCGAAAGUGAUCUACCUGUGAAAAAGCACCGGCUAACUCCGUGCCAGCAGCCGCGGUAAUACGUAGGGUGCAAGCGUUGUCCCGGAAUUAUUGGGGCGUAAAGAGCUCGUAGGCGGGUUUGGCGCGUCUGCUGUGAAAUCCCGAGGCUCAGCCUCGGGCUUGCAGUGGGUACGGGCAGACUAGAGUG